rnacentral:rRNA from 1 species
UACGAAGGGGGCUAGCGUUGUUCGGAUUUACUGGGCGUAAAGCGCGCGUAGGCGGAUCGUUAAGUCGGGGGUGAAAUCCUGGAGCUCAACUCCAGAACUGCCUUUGAUACUGGCGAUCUCGAGUCCGGGAGAGGUGAGUGGAACUGCGAGUGUAGAGGUGAAAUUCGUAGAUAUUCGCAAGAACACCAGUGGCGAAGGCGGCUCACUGGCCCGGUACUGACGCUGAGGUGCGAAAGCGUGGGGAGCAAACAGG